AUGUCCUGGAGGGGGAGGGGGGGGUCUUUCGGAGUGGAGACCACGGCACCGUCCUCUGCAGCGCGGGGCCGAGGAGGGCUUUCCCGGCCCAGAGGCCGGACAGGCACUUCUGCUUUCGCUUCGCGGGCCGCCCGGGGGAGAAAUCUGGUCCAGCAGUGCACGCGCCACCUCGCCCUCCCCCGGCGCCGCCGAAGCGCGCGCCCCGACCCUCAAGCGGCCCCUGGCAGGGGUGGGGGGAUCAAGCAAGCUCGCCGAGUGAGGGCGCGGGCGCGGGGCCGAGAGAGGAAGGCCGGGGACAGCCGCGGCCCUGCGGCCGGGGGCCCCUGCGCGGCCCGGAUGUGCCGGUCCCCGGCGGCGGCCCCGCGUCCCUCGCCGCUCCUGCCCGCGCCCUCCGCGCGGCGGCCCCGCUGGGAGCGCAGCCAUGAGGACGCCUGGGGGGCAGGGGGCGGCGGGGCGCGGGCGGCCGGCCCGGCGGGCCCUGCCCGAGGUGGCUUACCCUGGUGGCGCGUCCGCGCGCGGCCUCCCUGCGCUGGGGCUCCCUCCGCGGGCGCGGGCCUGGGCGUGCGGAGCAGGAGGGAGCGGCCGCGGAACCGGAGCCGGCGCCGGGGCGGGCGGGCGCGGUGUCGCCGGCCGGGGUCAGCGGCGCGCCAUGGCCCGGCGCUGGCGAGGGGCGCGGGCGCGGGCGCGGGCGGGGGCCGGGCUGCGCGGGGCUCCGGGUCGGGCGGCGCCGCAGGCCCAGCGCUGGAGGCAGGGGAAGCUGUCAGCGCGCCGCCGGCCGCUCGGGUGGCGAAACCUCCUCUUCCUGCCCCGGGCCGCUGGUGCACUUCUCUCUCGCUCUCGCUCGCUCACUCUCUCACUUCCUGGCUGGAAAUUCCCACUGACGUCGAGAAAGCAGACAGACAGACGGACACACGCGCGCACGCCGCGGGGGCGGGAGGUGGGCUCGCCGCGGGGGUGGGGGAAGCCCGCUCUCGUGGGGGCGCCGCGCCCCCGGCCCGCCUGGCCGCCCAGCCUGGCUCCCGGCGCCGCGGGGCCACCUCGGGGCGCAGGGCGAGGGGCGCGCGUUCGGCGGCCUGGCCGCCCGGGACCCCAAGCUCGCUCCCCGCCGCGCGCCCGCAGCCCGGAGGGCUAGAGCGGCUGGACGCCCCUGGAGGGCCUGCGGGGCCGCUGUCCCGGGAAGCGGGUGGCGCUGCGGCUGUUGGAGCCCCUAAGCACAGGCCCAAGCCUCUGGAGGGAGGGUGGGCCGGCACGGCGCCCAGCACGCUGUGUUUAAAAAUAAAUCCCGUCUAUAUGUUCCCUGUCAGUUGUCUCAGUGACGCUCCGAUCUCCUCACAGACUAAACUGGAAUUUCUCUGUCUUCGCUGA
rnacentral:lncRNA from 1 species